rnacentral:rRNA from 1 species
GACGAACCGUGCGAACGUUGUUCGGAAUCACUGGGCUUAAAGGGCGCGUAGGCGGCUCGCCAAGUCAGGGGUGAAAUCCUCCAGCUCAACUGGAGAAGUGCCUUUGAUACUGGCGAGCUCGAGUGAGGUAGGGGCGGGUGGAACUUCCGGUGGAGCGGUGAAAUGCGUUGAUAUCGGAAGGAACGCCGGUGGCGAAAGCGACCCGCUGGACCUCUUCUGACGCUGAGGCGCGAAAGCUAGGGGAGCGAACGGG